UACGGAGGGUGCAAGCGUUAUCCGGAUUCACUGGGUUUAAAGGGUGCGUAGGCGGGUAUGUAAGUCAGUGGUGAAAUCUCGGAGCUUAACUCCGAAACUGCCAUUGAUACUAUAUAUCUUGAAUAUUGUGGAGGUUUGCGGAAUAUGUCAUGUAGCGGUGAAAUGCUUAGAUAUGACAUAGAACACCUAUUGCGAAGGCAGCAGGCUACACAUAUAUUGACGCUGAGGCACGAAAGCGUGGGGAUCAAAC
rnacentral:rRNA from 1 species